rnacentral:rRNA from 1 species
GACGAACGCUGGCGGCGCGCCUAACACAUGCAAGUCGAACGAAGUGGCGAACGGGUGAGUAAUACGUGAGCAACUUGCCCCCCUUUCUGGGAUAAGCCUUGGAAACGGGGCCUAAUACCGAAUAAAGGGGGCUGGGCUCGCGGCCUAUCGGCUGGUUGGUGGGGUGAUGGCCUACUAAGGCGGUGACGGGUAGCCGGCCUGAGAGGCUGACCGGCGACGUUGGGACUGAGAUACGGCCCAGACUCCUGCGGGAGGCAGCCAUGGGGGAUAUUUCACAAUUGGCGAAAGCCUGAUGCAGCGACGCCGCGUGGGGGAUGUAGGCUUUCGUGUUGUAAACCUCUUUCGGUAUCGAACGGGUAAGUUGAGAAGAAGCGCCGGCUAACUACGUGCCAGCAGCCGCGGUAAUAC